UUAAAUUGAAGAGUUUGAUCAUGGCUCAGAUUGAACGCUGGCGGCAGGCUUAACACAUGCAAGU
rnacentral:rRNA from 2 species